CAGUCGCCGCGGGAAUACGUAGGGUGCGAGCGUUAAUCGGAAUUACUGGGCGUAAAGCGUACGCAGGCGGUUCGUUAAGACAGAUGUGAAAUCCCCGGGCUUAACCUGGGAACUGCAUUUGUGACUGGCGAGCUAGAGUAUGGCAGAGGGGGGUAGAAUUCCACGUGUAGCAGUGAAAUGCGUAGAGAUGUGGAGGAAUACCGAUGGCGAAGGCAGCCCCCUGGGCCAAUACUGACGCUCAUGCACGAAAGCGUGGGGAGCAAACAGGAUUAGAUACCCCCGUAGUCCCUGUCUCUUAUAC
rnacentral:rRNA from 1 species